rnacentral:rRNA from 1 species
ACUAGUCACCCUAGGCAAAAAGAUUUUUAGUCUAACACCCCGAACCCAGGCGAGCUACUCUAAGACAACCUUUCGAGCUAACCCGUCUCUGUUGCAAAAGAGUGGGAAGAUCUUAUAGUAGAAGCGAAAAACCAAACGAGCCUGGUGAUAGCUGGUUGCUUUAUAAAAGGAUUUUAGUCCAACUUAAAGUUGCUUAGAUACUCAAAAAUUAACUUUAAAGUAAUUCAAAUAAGGUCCAGCCUAUUUGAAAAAGGAUACAACCUAAACUAAUGGGUUCAUCCAUUUCCCCCCCCCCCCCCCCCAAAAAAAGUAGGCCUAAAAGCAGCCACCUUUUAAAAAGCGUCAUAGCUUACCUUUAUAGCUACCCAAUUCUUAAAAUUCUCAUUAACCCUUUAUCGACAAAAAGCAACUCUAUACCUUUAUAGAAAAUUUUAUGUUAAAACUAGUAACAAGAAGCAGCCCUUCUCUUAAAUGUGCCUGUACAUCAACAUGGACACCCCACUGAUAAUUAAC